rnacentral:lncRNA from 1 species
AUUAUCUGAAGGCCCAGAGGAAUCCAAGCAGGUUCAGAUGAAGUUCAUUUUUUUAAGUCCACCCAACAUCUGCUUUUUGCAAGCUUUCCUUUUCUCCCAGCCCUAACUUUCUCUCAUUCUAUCUCUACCUUUAACAUCUAAAUCAUAUUUGGAAAAAAAGUAAAUAAUUCCUGGAUUGCCUGUAUCAAUUUGGGGAAUGCAAAAUGGAUCAAGGAUUCAAAGUCAGUCUUUAAAGGUUUUGAGUAUUUGGUAGAAGGAAUUUAAUUUGGUGGAGGUUGGGGGAAGAAGAAGACCUAUGAGUUCAAUUGUAUGUUCUCUGAGAUCCCUUCUAACUCUGAAAUUCUGUGAUUACAUUUACCUGGCUCAGGAAUAUGACAUAAAUUCACAAGUAUGCACUAAGCAAAGUGGAAUGAGAACCAACUCUGGAGUAAAAAAAUGAGUUCAAAUCCUGCUUUUGUCAUGGCCUUUUUAAUCUCAGAUGAGAAGGAAAUGGUAAACCACUACAGUAUCCUUGAUAAGAAAACCCAAAAUGGAGUCAUGAAAAGCCAGACAUCAUUGAAAUGAGUAAACAACAACAAAAAGGAUACCCAAAUGUCAGGAUAAGACCUGAGACUAAUUUGAUUCUAAUGCAGAAGAUUCUGAGAACCAGAAGCCAUGGGAGUUGGAAUGCCCAUUGGAUCCUACUGCAACAUGAAGAAAGACACUUACUUGUGCAUGAAGAUUUAAGUGGAAAAGUCGAUGCACAGAGACAGUCCCACUCUCUCAGCAUUGGAAGCCUGGGUCCAGUGGCAUGAAAAGUUGUUACACCUGGAGACUUCCACAGCUGAAUUGGAUGGCUGUGUUGUCUUUUGUGCUCCAACAUGCCCUAAGCACUCCACAGUGCUUUGCUGUGUUGCCAUCUCAGCCGUUGAACCUUCUUAUUGGUUUCUUCCGUCUGUUCAGCUGAAGCAGUCUUCACAUGCUGGGUGAGCAAAGCCCUAGUUCACCAGGGGUCCACAAUGACCCGAUUGCUACCCUCACAAGGUUUAGCCGGCCUGUCGAAGCCGUUGCCCGGGGUGUGGCCGCUGCCACAUGCUAGCAGCUACUAGGAGCCACAAGUGAGAGUUGGGUGUCAGGUGAGGGUCAGAGGCUGGAGAGCUGCCCUUAGGAGGGCACGACAAGCCCUCCAUACCAAAGAAAUUACUCCUCCCUGAGCACCCCAUACACCCCUGAGAGUAAGUAUUGAAUCAACAAUAUUACAUGUUAGCACCUUCUGGUGUUAUUUCAUAAGAGCUUAUCAGGCUUCUUGAUAUUUUAUUCUGUGGCUUCAGUUGCAAUUAUUUUUUCUCUGGAAAAUAAUUCCUUCUCUGGGAAUUUUU